AAACAUCAUCCUACUUGACCUCAAGGGUCCUUGAAAGGGGCACAGAGUCCCAGCCCCGACUACAGCAGUUGAGGAAUUGGAGUCCCAUCAUCCUCUGGUGACAAUUCAAAAGGAACCCACUCUAUCUUUGCUAUGUCAUCUGAAGAUUUAUAUUCCAAAAAUAAGCACGGCAACGUAUUUGGUUAAUGACAAUCACAAUGUACAAAAAUGCCCAGGUGAGCUUACUCUGUGCUAUCUCUGAUGUGGAAUAACAAAACAGAGAGGAAUACUUGGGACAGAACCAGGACCGCCUCCCACCUGAUGCCUCAUUAUAUGAAAACGGUGCCAUUUUUCCCUGAACGGUGGACCCCAAGAGAAGACUUAAAUUUUUCUUUUCCGCUUCCCGAGGAGCAAAUUUCACGUUGAAACAGAGUUACACGAACCAAAAGCAAUUUGUGUACCUAAAGUAUUCAGAAAUGCUCAGCCUGCAGAACCAUCAUCAGCAUUUGAUUGCACACUUUGUUCCUAACAAGCACUCCUUGGCUCUCCAAAAGCUUAGGAAUGCAUUUACCGGUGAUAAUAGCAACGGGCAAUCUGAAGUGGACGAAGUGCAGACCUCACGGAGAUUUGAGAAGUCAAGCCGAUAUCGCAGAUUUGAAGCAGCACUCUAAACAUUAUGAAGGAACCAGCAUCUGUGAGCACCUACUCAAUGCCAGGCCUCGUGCUAGUACUUUCCACUUACUGUCUUAUGUAAUAUUCAUGAAAGCCUGCUGAAAUGGAUUUUAUCCCCCUUAAUUAUAGAGUAGAAUUCGA